rnacentral:rRNA from 1 species
UACGAAGGGGGCGAGCGUUGUUCGGAUUUACUGGGCGUAAAGGGCGCGCAGGCGGUCUUGAAAGUCAGGCGUGAAAGCCCCGGGCUUAACCUGGGAAUUGCGCUUGAUACUCUGAGACUGGAGUACGGGAGAGGAGAGUGGAAUUCCCAGUGUAGAGGUGAAAUUCGUAGAUAUUGGGAAGAACACCAGUGGCGAAGGCAGGUCUCUGGGCCACUACUGACGCUGAGAAGCGAAAGCAUGGGGAGCGAACAGG